UUCACGGAGAGUUUGAUCCUGGCUCAGGACGAACGCUGGCGGCGUGCUUAACACAUGCAAGUCGAACGGUGAAGCCUUUCGGGGUGGAUCAGUGGCGAACGGGUGAGUAACACGUGGGCAAU
rnacentral:rRNA from 1 species